GACGAACGCUGGCGGCGUGCUUAACACAUGCAAGUCGAGCGGUAAGGCCCUUCGGGUACACGAGCGGCGAACGGGUGAGUAACACGUGGGUAACCUGCCCUCAGCUCUGGGAUAAGCCCGGGAAACUGGGUCUAAUACCGGAUAUCACCUUGGGAGGCAUCUUCCGGGGUUGAAAGUUUUGGCGGCUGAGGAUGGGCCCGCGGCCUAUCAGCUUGUU
rnacentral:rRNA from 1 species